GACACGUGGUAUCCUGUCUGAAUAUGGGGGGACCAUCCUCCAAGGCUAAAUACUCCUGACUGACCGAUAGUGAACCAGUACCGUGAGGGAAAGGCGAAAAGAACCCCGGCGAGGGGAGUGAAAAAGAACCUGAAACCGUGUACGUACAAGCAGUGGGAGCACAGAGCAAUCUGUGUGACUGCGUACCUUUUGUAUAAUGGGUCAGCGACUUAUAUUCUGUAGCAAGGUUAACCGAAUAGGGGAGCCGAAGGGAAACCGAGUCUUAACUGGGCGUUAAGUUGCAGGGUAUAGACCCGAAACCCGGUGAUCUAGCCAUGGGCAGGUUGAAGGUUGGGUAACACUAACUGGAGGACCGAACCGACUAAUGUUGAAAAAUUAGCGGAUGACUUGUGGCUGGGGGUGAAAGGCCAAUCAAACCGGGAGAUAGCUGGUUCUCCCCGAAAGCUAUUUAGGUAGCGCCUCGUGAAUUCAUCUCCGGGGGUAGAGCACUGUUUCGGCAAGGGGGUCAUCCCGACUUACCAACCCGAUGCAAACUGCGAAUACCGGAGAAUGUUAUCACGGGAGACACACGGCGGGUGCUAACGUCCGUCGUGAAGAGGGAAACAACCCAGACCGCCAGCUAAGGUCCCAAAGUCAUGGUUAAGUGGGAAACGAUGUGGGAAGGCCCAGACAGCCAGGAUGUUGGCUUAGAAGCAGCCAUCAUUUAAAGAAAGCGUAAUAGCUCACUGGUCGAGUCGGCCUGCGCGGAAGAUGUAACGGGGCUAAACCAUGCACCGAAGCUGCGGCAGCGACGCUUAUGCGUUGUUGGGUAGGGGAGCGUUCUGUAAGCCUGCGAAGGUGUGCUGUGAGGCAUGCUGGAGGUAUCAGAAGUGCGAAUGCUGACAUAAGUAACGAUAAAGCGGGUGAAAAGCCCGCUCGCCGGAAGACCAAGGGUUCCUGUCCAACGUUAAUCGGGGCAGGGUGAGUCGACCCCUAAGGCGAGGCCGAAAGGCGUAGUCGAUGGGAAACAGGUUAAUAUUCCUGUACUUGGUGUUACUGCGAAGGGGGGACGGAGAAGGCUAUGUUGGCCGGGCGACGGUUGUCCCGGUUUAAGCGUGUAGGCUGGUUUUCCAGGCAAAUCCGGAAAAUCAAGGCUGAGGCGUGAUGACGAGGCACUACGGUGCUGAAGCAACAAAUGCCCUGCUUCCAGGAAAAGCCUCUAAGCAUCAGGUAACAUCAAAUCGUACCCCAAACCGACACAGGUGGUCAGGUAGAGAAUACCAAGGCGCUUGAGAGAACUCGGGUGAAGGAACUAGGCAAAAUGGUGCCGUAACUUCGGGAGAAGGCACGCUGAUAUGUAGGUGAAGCGACUUGCUCGUGGAGCUGAAAUCAGUCGAAGAUACCAGCUGGCUGCAACUGUUUAUUAAAAACACAGCACUGUGCAAACACGAAAGUGGACGUAUACGGUGUGACGCCUGCCCGGUGCCGGAAGGUUAAUUGAUGGGGUCAGCGCAAGCGAAGCUCUUGAUCGAAGCCCCGGUAAACGGCGGCCGUAACUAUAACGGUCCUAAGGUAGCGAAAUUCCUUGUCGGGUAAGUUCCGACCUGCACGAAUGGCGUAAUGAUGGCCAGGCUGUCUCCACCCGAGACUCAGUGAAAUUGAACUCGCUGUGAAGAUGCAGUGUACCCGCGGCAAGACGGAAAGACCCCGUGAACCUUUACUAUAGCUUGACACUGAACAUUGAGCCUUGAUGUGUAGGAUAGGUGGGAGGCUUUGAAGUGUGGACGCCAGUCUGCAUGGAGCCGACCUUGAAAUACCACCCUUUAAUGUUUGAUGUUCUAACGUGGACCCGUAAUCCGGGUUGCGGACAGUGUCUGGUGGGUAGUUUGACUGGGGCGGUCUCCUCCUAAAGAGUAACGGAGGAGCACGAAGGUUGGCUAAUCCUGGUCGGACAUCAGGAGGUUAGUGCAAUGGCAUAAGCCAGCUUGACUGCGAGCGUGACGGCGCGAGCAGGUGCGAAAGCAGGUCAUAGUGAUCCGGUGGUUCUGAAUGGAAGGGCCAUCGCUCAACGGAUAAAAGGUACUCCGGGGAUAACAGGCUGAUACCGCCCAAGAGUUCAUAUCGACGGCGGUGUUUGGCACCUCGAUGUCGGCUCAUCACAUCCUGGGGCUGAAGUAGGUCCCAAGGGUAUGGCUGUUCGCCAUUUAAAGUGGUACGCGAGCUGGGUUUAGAACGUCGUGAGACAGUUCGGUCCCUAUCUGCCGUGGGCGCUGGAGAACUGAGGGGGGCUGCUCCUAGUACGAGAGGACCGGAGUGGACGCAUCACUGGUGUUCGGGUUGUCAUGCCAAUGGCACUGCCCGGUAGCUAAAUGCGGAAGAGAUAAGUGCUGAAAGCAUCUAAGCACGAAACUUGCCCCGAGAUGAGUUCUCCCUGACUCCUUGAGAGUCCUGAAGGAACGUUGAAGACGACGACGUUGAUAGGCCGGGUGUGUAAGCGCAGCGAUGCGUUGAGCUAACCGGUACUAAUGAACCGUGAGGCUUAACCUUACAACGCCGAAGCUGUU
rnacentral:rRNA from 1 species